rnacentral:misc_RNA from 1 species
UGGGCAAGACCAGCGCACAUUUGCGGCGUGCGCUGGCGAGUGCACACUAGCGAGAGACGCAGCAGAGGACGUCCUCACCAGGGCGCCUUUUUACCAUUUUCUUUCCUUUUUUCGCUUGCGACGUAGGAGCACAUCGCCGCACCUUCUCUCCGCUCUGCUGCCUCGCCGCGCUCUUCAGCUCUGCCGACAUCAUAGAUUUGUUUCGCGGCACACUGGAUGCAGCAAAAGACCAUACACCCACACAAACAAAAUACAAGCCUCAACAGCAGCGACAGCCAGCCGCUUCGACUAGCCGAUCCCUCCUGCCAAAGACAGGGGCACAGCAGGGAUUGCGCGUACUAGUGGAAGACCGUCGAGGGGAUCGAGGCAGCCACGGCCCCAGCCGCGAUAUUUGCGAGACACCACCAUGGAGGAGGUGCUUGCGAGUCAGCUGGUCGAACUGCGGAAGGAGCAGGGGCGACUGGAGGAGCAGCUUGGCCACACCGCGCUCGGGGUGCCUCGCGGAACGUGUCGCGCCUUCAUCACACCCGGAACCGAAACAUACGCGGAAACACACCGCUGCGUGCGAGAGCUCACUGCACAUGAGGCGAACAGUGCUGCCACCGCUGACGCAGGGGCUGCCGCCUCCACGCGUAGUCGCGGCGGUGGCGACGUACGAGGAGCGCCGCAACGCAAAGACGAGGCCGACACAAGGAAGAGCUCCCCACAAGCUCCGGCGACCCCUGGAGGGGCUGCCCGCAUGGACUCGAGCUAUCAAGAACGCCUCAGCGAGCUCGAGUCCCUCAAGCGCAAGUACGAGGCGUACGCCCGGGAGGCCAUGAACCAGUACUUCAGCUCCGUGAACGGCUACCAGGGCUACAAGGAACGCCGCGAGAAGAUGAUGAAGCGCGUGAAGCCGUUUGCGUUCGAGUCUCGCGAGCUUGUCAAGCCGCCGCGCAUCCGAGAGCAGCGCGCAGAGGCGGACCAGCGAGCGCGAGAUGCCGCUGCGACGGAGCAUCGCUGGCAUCCGUACAAGGCGACCCCUGUGCCGCCGUCUACCUUCAUGAAUAAGUAUGAGCUGAUGGUCGAAGAGUGGUGCCAGCGCAAGGCUGCCAUUGAGAUGAUGUCGCGCGAGCGGGCGCGCAUUGCCAAGGAUGACGCGGCCUUUGUGCGACUGUCUGCGCAGUCCUUGCGCAGCACGCGGGAAGGGCUUAUGGGUGUCGUAUACGGGCCUGAUGGCAAGCCGGUCACACGGAACGAGCUGCGGCGACGUGCCCGAAGCGCGGACGUCAUGAGAAGCCGGCACAAGAGCACCGGGGCACCACUUCGUGAGGUGCCGCUAGAGGUACGGAUGAAGCUGUGGCCUGCUCUAAGCGAUCACGAGCGGCUUCGGCGCGAGCGCAUCAAGUUUCUGGCGACUGUGCGCAAGUCCGAGGUGGACGCGGAGGUGCGCCAAGUGAUGCCGCUGCUAACGAGCCCCUCGCCAGCUCGCUGCUACGACGCUGCUAGCCCAGGCGGCAUCGACAUGGCCGCCUUACUGGCGGCUGCAAACGGAGAAAAUGUGGGCGCGGCAGUGCCGCGCUACGGGGUCGGUCAGGCCGUGCUUUCCUCUAAGCGAACCCCAUUCCCUACCGCUGAGGCAGGAGCGCUGGCCGCCGCGCUGUCACCUUCCACGGUGCCACCGCCACCGGCGGUUGUCAGUGGUUUGUCUCCGCGCACGUCGGUGCCCCCUCCUCCACCUCCCUGUGUGCCAACACCUCAGCCGCCCACUGGCGCAGCAAUGGCGGUGCCGGCGCCGGUGCCGUCUCUGCCGGCUGCCGUUCCUGAGCCGCCCCCAGGUGCCGUGGUGCUGCCGCCUCUGCCAACUGCUCCCACGACGGUUCCCACGACGGUUCCCACGACGGUUCCCACGGCGCCUCCCCCUUUUUUCCCUACUGGUAGCGCUGUGCCGGCUCCUCCAUCAGCCGGGCCGCCGCCGCCGCCGCCGCCAGCGCCGGCGUCGACGGCUGCUGCCGCGGCAACAGUCUCUUCAGCCACAGCAGGUGCAGCGGCGGGCUCGAAAGCAGCGAAGCAGAGCACGCAGCAAGAUAGGGAGGCAUUGUGGCGCCGCUAUAAUCCGCAGCUCACCUUCAAGCCGAACGUGCGGCCAGGUGUGCCGAAUUUCGAAGCGCUCUGGGCGCACAACAAGGCGACGCUCGCUCAGAGGAAGCUACAACACCCGACGACGGUGCCGCAGCCGUUUGACUUGACACCUAGUGCGCAGGACAACAGAAUUGUGGGGCGUCGGCCGGCGCGCAGCACCUCCGCACCCGGGCCGCCGCGCCGCCACGGAUCGCCGUCGGGCGGCAAGAGGCGGCAGGCAGCGGACACGCCGUCGAUGCCAGCUGGGAACGUAAUGGCACUCGCGUCACCGCGCAGCGGCGCUCCUCGCGGCACCCGCGCUCACGCCCUGCGGACGCAGGCGAUCUACUCGCACUACGUCAAACAGUCCGAGGAGCAGAGUGUGACGGCGGAAGGAGAUGAGCAGUACUGGAAGGCGGUGGCGCAGCGACAACGCGAGGUGCGGAAGCGGCUGUCUGCGUACCUGGUUGACCACCACGCCGAGCACGAACGGGCAAUCACGGAGAAAGUGCGGGCUUUGCGUGCUGCCAUGCGGGAGAGCGAAAAGGCAGCCAAGGAGCGGCUGGCAGAGAUGAAGCAGAGGGUCGCCGAAAUGCCGCCGGUGUUCGCCGAGCCGGUGCACCUGAACGAGCAAUCCAAGGUGCGCGUGGAGGCGGAGAAGAUUGUCCUGCAGUCUCUAAAGGAAGCGGGACUCGAUGGCGCCACCAUCAAGCGCAUCCUCACCUCCCCGCUGGUCGACGCCACGGAUGCCGCGACGGACGCAUUAGGCGCUGAAGCAGCGGACACGAGUAGGAUCGAAGGGGAUGGCGUUUCGCCCAUCGCGGCCGGUGAAGAGGACUCGAAGGCACAAGGAGCACCGUCCAGCGCGGCUGCACACAGUCCCCUCAGCAAACACGCGGAAGCCUCGAAACACGACUCUAGCGGCAGCAGUAGCAGCAGCGACAGCGACGCCAGCAGCAGCCGCAGCAGCGAGGGCUCCAUCAAGAAGUCUCCGCCUGGCAGCUCCGUGACCAGAAGAUCUUCUUGCCCGUCCGCCUCGACGCUUUCCGUGCCGGCGCCGCCGAAGCCGGUGGUGGCGGACAGGACGAGCGCCACCGAGUACAGCGACGACAGCUUUGAAUCUUCGGAUAGCGACUAGGCGCAGCGAGGAUCAUGCGCGCCGCCCUCUCUCCCUACUUUCCCCGGCUGCUGUGCACCUGCACACUUUAAAGUGGUUGGGGAUGGUGGCAACGGAUCGAGGAAGCGCACGCGUAUGCGUGUGUGCUCUAGCGCUUCUUGCACAGCGAUGUGAAGCGGUACUCGCGCUAUUGCCUCAAGAAGAUGGUUUCUUUGGUUUCCGGUUCUUGUUCAUAGAUGGCCAUGAGGGAUGCCGACGCGGUGGCGCCCCUCAGGAUACUUGUGUGCACGCGUGCAUGUGCAUGUGUGCGUGUGUGUGUAAGCGUGUCUUGAUUGUAUGGUCAGGCUGGAUUGAUUGGGUGCCCUGCCUCACAUUGUGAGCGUAGCGAACGGCGCGCACGGGCCUGCUUGUCCUUCCAUUCGGAGAUGAGCAUAUACGGAGAGGC